UAUAUAUAUUUAUAAUAUAGCAUUUGUAAAUUCUGAACGCUGAUUGGCUAAGCGCCGUGUUGAUAUAACUCAAUGUCAACACGGGAAAUUUUCCGCCGCUUGUAAACACGGAAAUUUUUCUUAUCCUUCGGGCUUUUGACAUUGCUAUAUUAUAAAAAAAAAUAUAAAACAUUUUUUCCGUAUUGAUAUAUAGUUAUAUCAACACUCGUGGAAGUUGGGAA